rnacentral:tRNA from 1 species
AUGAGUAUAGCUCAGUGGUAGAGUGCAUGCUUAGCAUGCACGAGGUCCUGGGUUCAAUCCCCAGUGCCUCUA